UGAUUGUGCUGAGUCGUGUGCAAGAAAAACUAGGGCUGUGUGGUGUAUGUAAAUAACUACAGUUCUCUUAACUCGGGAGCAGUUGCCAACUCAGUCCUUGUACUUGGUUAACACGAAUCUGUUU
rnacentral:miRNA from 1 species